CCUACGGGAGGCAGCAGUGAGGAAUAUUGGUCAAUGGGCGAGAGCCUGAACCAGCCAAGUCGCGUGAGGGAGUACUGCCCUAUGGGUUGUAAACCUCUUUUGUCGGGGAGCAAAAGCCGGACGUGUCCGGCUGUGAGAGUACCCGAAGAAAAAGCAUCGGCUAACUCCGUGCCAGCAGCCGCGGUAAUACGGAGGAUGCGAGCGUUAUCCGGAUUUAUUGGGUUUAAAGGGUGCGCAGGCGGAUUUUUAAGUCAGCGGUAAAAUCGUGGGGCUCAACCCCAUCCAGCCGUUGAAACUGGGGAUCUAGAGUGUGCGAGAGGUAUGCGGAAUGCGUGGUGUAGCGGUGAAAUGCAUAGAUAUCAUGCAGAACCCCGAUUGCGAAGGCAGCAUACCGGUGCACAACUGACGCUCAGGCACGAAAGCGUGGGUAUCGAACAGGAUUAGAUACCCCAGUAGUC
rnacentral:rRNA from 1 species